UACGGAGGGGGCUAGCGUUGUUCGGAAUUACUGGGCGUAAAGCGCACGUAGGCGGCUUUGCAAGUCAGAGGUGAAAGCCCGGGGCUCAACUCCGGAAUUGCCUUUAAAACUGCAUCGCUAGAAUUGUGGAGAGGUAAGUGGAAUUCCGAGUGUAGAGGUGAAAUUCGUAGAUAUUCGGAAGAACACCAGUGGCGAAGGCGACUUACUGGACACAUAUUGACGCUGAGGUGCGAAAGCGUGGGGAGCAAACAGG
rnacentral:rRNA from 1 species